rnacentral:rRNA from 1 species
GAUGAACGCUAGCUACAGGCUUAACACAUGCAAGUCGAGGGGAAGCGACAUCGAAAGCUUGCUUUUGAUGGGCGUCGACCGGCGCACGGGUGAGUAACGCGUAUCCAACCUGCCCAUCACUUGGGAAUAACCCUGCGAAAGUAAGACUAAUACCCAAUGAUAUCCCACGAAGGCAUCGGAAUGGGAUUAAAGAUUUAUCGGUGAUGGAUGGGGAUGCGUCUGAUUAGCUUGUUGGCGGGGUAACGGCCCACCAAGGCAACGAUCAGUAGGGGUUCUGAGAGGAAGGUCCCCCACAUUGGAACUGAGACACGGUCCAAACUCCUACGGGAGGCAGCAGUGAGGAAUAUUGGUCAAUGGGCGAGAGCCUGAACCAGCCAGGUAGCGUGCAGGAAGACGGCCCUAUGGGUUGUAAACUGCUUUUAUAAGGGAAUAAAGUGGGUCACGUGUGACUUUUUGCAUGUACCUUAUGAAUAAGGACCGGCUAAUUCCGUG